CCUACGGGUGGCAGCAGUGAGGAAUAUUGGUCAAUGGCCGGAAGGCUGAACCAGCCAUGCCGCGUGAAGGUCAGUGCCCUAUGGGCGUUAAACUUCUUUUGUGCUGGAGCAAUAAUGGUCACGUGUGGCCAGACGAGAGUACCGUACGAAUAAGCAUCGGCUAACCCCGUGCCAGCAGCCGCGGUAAUACGGGGGAUGCAAGCGUUAUCCGGAUUUAUUGGGGUUAAAGGGGGCGUAGGCUGUGAGGUAAGUCAGCUGUGGAAUGCCCCCGUUCAACGGGGGAAAGUGCCAUUGAUACUGGCUUGCUGGAAUGCGGAUGCGGUGGGAGGAAGGUGUGGUGUAGCGGUGAAAUGCAUAGAGAUCACACAGAACACCGAUUGCGAAGGCAGCUCACGAAUCCGCGAUUGACGCUGAUGCACGAAAGCGUGGGUAUCAAACAGGAUUAGAUACCCGUGUAGUC
rnacentral:rRNA from 1 species